AUUGAACGCUGGCGGCAGGCCUAACACAUGCAAGUCGAGCGGGGUUUUCGGACCUAGCGGCGGACGGGUGAGUAAUGCGUAGGAAGCUACCCGAUAGAGGGGGAUACCAGUUGGAAACGACUGUUAAUACCGCAUAAUGUCUACGGACCAAAGUGUGGGACCUUCGGGCCACAUGCUAUCGGAUGCGCCUACGUGGGAUUAGCUAGUUGGUGGGGUAAUGGCUCACCAAGGCGACGAUCCCUAGCUGGUUUGAGAGGAUGAUCAGCCACACUGGAACUGAGACACGGUCCAGACUCCUACGGGAGGCAGCAGUGGGGAAUAUUGGACAAUGGGCGCAAGCCUGAUCCAGCCAUGCCGCGUGUGUGAAGAAGGCCUUCGGGUUGUAAAGCACUUUCAGUAGGGAGGAAGGGUGUUGUGUUAAUAGCACAGCAUUUUGACGUUACCUACAGAAGAAGCACCGGCUAACUCUGUGCCAGCAGCCGCAGUAA
rnacentral:rRNA from 1 species